rnacentral:rRNA from 1 species
UGUAAGCGUAUACCAAAGUUGUUGCAGUUAAAACGCUCGUAGUCGGAUUUGGCAGUUCCGGAUGUGUGCACGUCGUGUGCGCACUUCGCGGGGAUUGCUUUUGUGGUCUUGCGUAGGAUGAGGCACUUUUAUUAGUGAACGUCCUCACGCAACCACUUUUUACUGUGAGAAAAUCAGAGUGCUCAAAGCAGGCAUUUGCCGUGAAUGUAUUAGCAUGGAAUAAUAGAAUAGGACUUGGUUCUAUUUUGUUGGUUUGUUGGGACUGAGUAAUGAUUAAGAGGGACAGUUGGGGGCAUUUGUAUUUCGGUGCUAGAGGUGAAAUUCUUAGAUUACCGAAAGACAAACUGCUGCGAAAGCGUCUGCCAAGGAUGUUUUCAUUGA